rnacentral:rRNA from 1 species
AAAUUGAAGAGUUUGAUCAUGGCUCAGAUUGAACGCUGGCGGCAGGCCUAACACAUGCAAGUCGAACGGUAACAGGAAGCAGCUUGCUGCUUUGCUGACGAGUGGCGGACGGGUGAGUAAUGCCUGGGAAACUGCCCGAUGGAGGGGGAUAACUACUGGAAACGGUAGCUAAUACCGCAUAACGUCGCAAGACCAAAGAGGGGGACCUUAGGGCCUCUUGCCAUCGGAUGUGCCCAGAUGGGAUUAGCUAGUAGGUGGGGUAA